rnacentral:rRNA from 1 species
CCAGACUCCUACGGGAGGCAGCAGUGGGGAAUAUUGCACAAUGGGGGAAACCCUGAUGCAGCGACGCCGCGUGGGCGAGGAAGUACCUCGGUAUGUAAAGCCCUAUCAGCAGGGAAGAAACAGGACAGUACCUGACUAAGAAGCCCCGGCUAACUACGUGCCAGCAGCCGCGGUAAUACGGAGGAUGCGAGCGUUAUCCGGAUUUAUUGGGUUUAAAGGGUGCGUAGGCGGGCUGUUAAGUCAGCGGUCAAAUGUCGGGGCUCAACCCCGGCCUGCCGUUGAAACUGGCGGCCUCGAGUGGGCGAGAAGUAUGCGGAAUGCGUGGUGUAGCGGUGAAAUGCAAAGAUAUCACGCAGAACUCCGAUUGCGAAGGCAGCAUACCGGCGCCCGACUGACGCUCAUGCACGAAAGCGUGGGUAUCGAACAGGAUUAGAUACCCCAGUA